rnacentral:rRNA from 1 species
UACGUAGGGCGCAAGCGUUGUCCGGAAUUAUUGGGCGUAAAGAGCGUGUAGGCGGCCCGGUAAGUCCGCUGUGAAAGUCGGGGGCUCAACCCUCGAAUGCCGGUGGAUACUGUCGGGCUAGAGUGCGGAAGAGGCGAGUGGAAUUCCUGGUGUAGCGGUGAAAUGCGCAGAUAUCAGGAGGAACACCAAUUGCGAAGGCAGCUCGCUGGGACGUAACUGACGCUGAGACGCGAAAGCGUGGGAAGCAAACAGG